GGUCUGGUGGCCGAGGUGACAACGGCGCCGGUCUUCAUACGGCAGGACUGGGGUUCAAAUCCCAUCCAGACCG
rfam:Anopheles stephensi strain SDA-500 unplaced genomic scaffold supercont1.37, whole genome shotgun sequence.